UACAGAGGGGGCAAGCGUUAUUCGGAAUUACUGGGCGUAAAGCGCAUGUAGGCGGCAGCGCAAGUCGGGCGUGAAAUCCCACGGCUCAACCGUGGAAGUGCACUCGAAACUGCGCAGCUAGAGUCCUGGAGAGGAAGGUGGAAUGCUUGGUGUAGAGGUGAAAUUCGUAGAUAUCAAGCGGAACACCGGUGGCGAAGGCGGCCUUCUGGACAGUGACUGACGCUGAGAUGCGAAAGCGUGGGGAGCAAACAGG
rnacentral:rRNA from 1 species